AUGGAAGCCUUGGAGGGUCACUUUUGAGUUUCGACUUACGGAUAUUUUACUUUUGACUUUCGACUUUUGACUUUUGAUUUGUGACUUACGUCUUAUGACUUUUGGCUAACCCAUUUUACACGUUUUUUAGAAGCUGAAAGCAGCAACUUUGGUUUCAGACACAACUACUAGACAAAAGGUAACGAGGAUGAAAACCUUGAUGUUGAUCUGUGUCUUCAUCAUUAUACUGUUCGGCAUUACCAAAGCUACCGUGCCAAGAUACCUACCCUCAACAUUUAUAAGAAACAAAACUCUGCUGAUAAUAGAGUACUUUCUGGUACGGCAUGGCAUUACGACGUCAUUAAGUACAGUGAAUAGAAUUUUUAAACGCUUAAAUUUAAAACGGCGUAAUGGAAUAUAUACUCCAUUUGAGACUGUGUCUGAUGUUAUAAACAGAGAAAUACAAACAAGUGGACAAUGCAUAGGAUACCGCACAAUGUGGCGUAGGUUAAUGCUGGAUUACCACAUGUACCUCAAGGGGGACGGCGUCAUGGAAAUAAUGAGAGCGCUUGAUCCAGUUGAUAUUGAGGUGCGGAAAGCUUAUCGCUUAUGCCGACGCGUAUACUACGCCAAAGGACCAGUUUUAUAUGACAUAUGGACAGCCAUAAUAUUGCUGUGAAUAGGUAUAGUAGAAAAAAUAAUAUGGUUAGAGGUUUCGGAUUCAAAUAACGACCCACGCCUUAUUUCAAGAUACUUUUCGACACCUUUAAUGAACAAUACCAAGUCCCCCCACCCAAUACUACGUUGUGAUGUUGGUAGGGAAAACUGCAUUGCUUUACUAUUGCAGGAAUACUUCAGACACGAUUCUACAGAUCCGAUUGCUGGUACUCAAAGCGUUGUAGUUGGAAAAAGCACAUCUAACCAACGCAUUGAGAAGUGGUGGUGUACAUUACGACAAAAUGAAAUCCAUUGGUGGAUUAAUUUUUUUCAAAGACUUACGCGAUACAUGUGCAUUUAAUGAUCUAGACCCGAUACAAUGUGAGAACUUAAAAUUUUGCUUUAUGGACCUCAUACAAACCGAGUUAGACCGGAUUGCACAUGAAAUAAGGCAACAAACCUUCUGUUAUUUAUGGUAAACCUGAUACACUGUUUUUUGUACCAGGUCUGUAUGAAACUCACGACUUCGGCAAUGCAGUUAACUUGAGAGACGUAUAUAUUUGCAAAGAACAUGUAUUCACGCCCAAAAAGACAAUGUGAGGAAUUCGUAGAAUUAGCACCCCUUCUGAAGCCAGAUCUACAGAUGCCAUUGGACGCCUAACAGCACUACAACUGUGUACCGAGUUGAACGAUUUAAUUUUGAGAGUAGAUUUAAUAUAAAUACGCUUUGAAACGGCUAAUUUUUAUUGUGUGUUAUUUAUAUAUUCUAGAUUACUAUAGGUUAAGUUUCAAAAAAAGAUGUUUUAAAAUCAUAAAGACGAUAGUCUACGAUUUCACUUCAUUUUAUGGUUGUUUUAAGAUAUUGGUUUGUAAAUAUUUAGCAAAUUACAAUAUAUUUGUAAAUUAUCAUUUAAGUUAUAACCACUCUAAUUUGCACUAUAAGGGAUUGUAUAUAAAAUUGACAACAUUGUUAAGUGGUAUACCUAAAGGACACCUGUAUGCAAAAUUUACCGUACGGAUUACGAGUUGUAGGCAUUAUUAUGAGUCAGAACAUAUACAUCAAAAAGGCUUUUAAAAAGAAAUACAUGUAUUGAAAGUCUUAAAAAUAUCUUCUUGUUUAACAUGUUUUGCAAGUGUUGUUUGUUUAGAUGCAAAAAAUAACAUUCUAGUAAUGAACUAUGUAUGUUAAAUGCAUCACUUUUCUCGACACGAUAGAAAUAUGCAUGGAAAUGUUUCUCUACCCCACCCAUUUGAACAAUUUCUAUCAUAUCAUUCUAAAUUUAGAAAAUCACUAAAAUUACAUUUGUCAAAGGGCUUGUUUCAAAGUUUGCUAAAAUCUUUCUAGAAGUAUAUUGAUUCAUUCUGAGAAAUAUGGAAGGCUUUUACCGGCUUGUUUGUAAUAUGUAAAGCAUUUGAAAUGUUAUAUGUCGUAUUUGCUCUUAUAUUUAGCAUUGAUUAGGCAAUGAAUAUCUGUAAAAAAUGAUAAUAAUAGAAAACGAGCAUAUUUUUCCAUCUAAAUAUAGUUAGAAAAAUACAAAAAUACUGUUAAAAGAAAAAACGAAGAAAAAAAAAGUUUUCUCCUAUGGGUUUCAAACCCACAACCUGUAUCUGUUCUAUAUCAAGCCCUGGUUACAAAAAGGCUGCCCGGCUAGGAAUAGAACCUCGGUCUCCCGCGUGACUGGCAGGGACACUUUCCACUAUACCAAAUGCCACAGGGGGAGAAAGAUAUGCAGCUAUACCGGGAUUCGAACCCGCAACCCCCUUACAGGGCUAGUUCUGUCCCGACCGAGAGUGCACUUCAUCUACUGAAUAGAUUCGUACCGUGACAUAUAAGUGAUACGUGUAAUUUCAAGUAUGUGUAAUUAGAUUUAAACGUCUUAUUCAUUCGCAACAAAUAGCAACCAUACUUUAUAGAAUGUAUUAUGGUAACUAUAUGUAAAAGGAAUAUAUAUGAUUGUUAUUUCAAAAAUAAUAGUUGAUCUUUGUAAUAAAUUUUCUCGUUUUUUAUUAAAUUUUGCCUUGUGACUAUUCACUUAUAAUUUAUCACUUUUUACCUAUGACUUUUAUCUUUUGACUUUUGACUUAUAACUUUUGUCAUUUGCUGUUACUCUUUACCUUGGUAUAAACAUUAGUUUUACUUGAUUUUAGAUUAGUGCAAAAUAAGCAAAUUUGUGACACAGUCACCAAAUGCAAGGGAGCACAUAAGCCGAGAGUGGUGUUGAAGUCAUAUAAUGUUUACAAGUACAUUUAGCCACUAGCCUCAUUUUUGCAUUAUAAUUAUUGCAUUCAUAUGAUUUUAUCAUAUGAUAGUUGAUCUUUUUUACGUGAAGAAUCAACAUCAAUUGUUUUUGUAAAAUCAUAUGUAUAGAAGGUUUAAUUCGGGACAUUCAUUCAUAAAUACCGUCUGCAGCAUUAAGUAUUAAAGUAAAUAAACUGUUAUUGAUAAAUAAGAAUUUUUUAUUCAGAUUAAACAGUUCUGAGCUAUUUUCUAGAUGUGUAGUCUUAUUACAAUUUUUCAUUACCAUUUUACAGCUUGAAAUAGAUUAUUUAAUUUUUUGUUGAAUUUAGUCACGGUUGACUGGUGCGCUAUUUUUCCGUGUUCACUAUUAAAGAGGGAACAAGCAUUAGGCAUUAUAAUACAUGUACAUUAAAUUAAAGGAGAUAUAAACGGAAUAUUAUGUAGUAGUAGCUUUUUAAGGCUUUGUAUAUUGCUACGAGCAGCGGUGGAAAAAUGAUAUCUCGCGAGACCGAAGGUCGAGUGAGAUAUCAAUUUUCCAAUGUUGUAAGUAGAAAAAUGCAUAUUUAAUCUGGUCCUGAAUGAUAAAAAUACAUUGUCCUCAUUUGUUGACAAUUUAUUAUUGUGUUAUUGUAACUUUGUUAUAACCAAAAUAAACUUGCAAUUUACUAUCGGAAUAAACAGUAUUUAAAUGUUACAGAGAAUUUAUUUAUCUAUGUAGAGAUAAUGUUCCAUUAAAAUUAUAUGUAAGAUGUUACAAUGAGCAAAGUAGAAAUAGAAUAUCAAUCACUAUAGAAGUAAACUGCCAACUCCCUCAACAGACUACCUAAAUAUACAUCUACCGAGAGACCACGCUACCAAAGGUUUUUACCUCACGGUCUAGACCGUGACAGGUUGGCAGAGCUAUCAAUAAAUUUUUGGAAUAAAUGCGUUUAAACAGAUAACAACAAACAUUUCUAAUUCUACAACCGUGCUUUAUUUUGUUUAACAAAAUUGUUGUCUUAUAAGAAAACAAAUGUAUUAGAUAUGCAAAACAAACUGCAUUUGAGCUUCAUUAUAUUUAAUUUU